GGCAUCCUUCCAUCUCAUCAACAGCACUGCCACAGGCAGUAUUGGAAAUAGAUUCAGAAACUUUCAGCAUAAUCGUAUCUGAUAAAGAACCAGUCUUUUGUCUAAUAUGGUCCAUAACAAACAAAGACGUGAGAUCCUCAAUGAAUGACAUGGGGUUGAGGGAAUGAAAUUCUUUUCAAUUAACAAACAGAGAAAGCACAAAUCUUUG
rnacentral:misc_RNA from 1 species